GAAAUGCGAUAAGUAAUGUGAAUUGCAGAAUUCAGUGAAUCAUCGAAUCUUUGAACGCAUCUUGCGCUUCUUGGUAUUCCUUGGAGCAUGCCUGUUUGAGUAUCAUGAAAUCUUCAAAGUAAAUCUUUUGUUAACUCAAUUGGUUUCUACUUUGGUAUUGGAGGUCUUUGCAGCUUCACACCUGCUCCUCUUUGUUCAUUAGCUGGAUCUCAGUGUUAUGCUUGGUUCCACUCGGCGUGAUAAGUUAUCUAUCGCUGAGGACACUGUAAAAGGUGGCCAAGGUAAAUGCAGAUGAACCGCUUCUAAUAGUCCAUUGACUUGGACAAUACUUUUAUGAUCUGAUCUCAAAUCAGGUAGGACUACCCGCUGAACUUAAGC
rnacentral:misc_RNA from 1 species